CCAUGGUACCCAUAAUUUGUGAAUGUUUUAUCGUUAAAUUUGAUUACAUGCACAACUGUUUGUGUAUAUAUAUAGGUACAUUCAUAUUUAUAUCCUCAUAUUUUUUAAAUGUUAUUUUUCCUCUUUUUUUCCCUGCCAGGUAAUGAUGGAUCCUAGAAGGGAAGAAAAACUGUCUAUGCCUUUGCCUUUCUUGAAUGCUAUCUCCAAAGAGUGAGUUGACAACUUAAUUUAAGUCACUGGUUCUCCAUUGCUACCUGCGGCCUUUUGGAUGCUCUUGCAGAUUACUUCUUGGGAACUCUUGGGAGUGAAUGAUACCAGUAAGUCUCUGAAACAAGACUCUUCAGACAAGGAGACUGUGGUCCAAGGGCCAUGCUUUGAAGGUGGUGACCACAAAUGUGAGGUGGAUUUGUUACUGAGGGUGCCAUUACUUCUACCACCAGCUUCCUCAAAAUAAUGAUACACUCUGCUUUAUGCUUGGCGAUUCCUCUCUUUCCUGUGUUGCAGUGGACACAUCCUGCAGAUAAGAAAUGCUUAACUGAGAAAUGCUCAUGUUGGGAUAUCAUCGAUGAGACUUUAAUUUGGGCAUGGUGACUGUUUCCCUUGCUGCCACUUGACUCAAUCCCAGGAGCCUCAGUAGAGGAAAUAUUAUUGCACAAGAAACUCAAAAUGGUGGAAUUGCUCAGUGCUCCCAUAAAUAUACAUUUAUAAUUUCCAUUUGCCAUAUGGUAAAAAAUUUAAAUAGGAUAUAUUAAGAAACUGCACAUUUUUUCUCAAAAAUUCAAAGCGUAUUUAAAUAUCUAAAAUAUAAAUUAAGUGCCCUCCUCUCUCCCAAUUCUUCCCCCAGAGUUUUCUUCUCUUAAGAGAGUUGUGUGCAUUCUUUAAGCAGAUAGAUGCACACACACAGACACACAGACACACAAACUAUUUUGGGGGGUUCUGGAAGUGGGGCCAUAUUGUACACAUUCUUCUGCAAAUUACCUUUCAUUUUACAGUUUUUAAUACCCUUUUCUAUUUCAGUAAUAUACAUCUGUGUCAUUUGUUGAAUGACUGCACGACUGUUUUGUAGAUGAAAUAUAAUUAAAUGUUAUAAGUUUUUCUCAUCCAUAGAUAUUUGUUAGCACAAAAUUUCUGUGCAAUGAACCUCCCUAUCAGUAUUUUUGCAUUUGUCUAUUAUAUCAUAAUAAAUUACUUAGCAGUUGAAAUACUGGGAUUAAG
ensembl:lncRNA